GACGAACGCUGGCGGCGUGCUUAACACAUGCAAGUCGAGCGGUAAGGCCCUUUCGGGGGUACACGAGCGGCGAACGGUGAGUAACACGUGGGUGACCUGCCCUCAGCUCUGGGAUAAGCCUGGGAAACCGGGUCUAAUACUGGAUAUGACUCCAUGACGCAUGUUGUGGGGUGGAAAGCCUUGUGCGGCUGAGGAUGGGCCCGCGGCCUAUCAGCUUGUUGGUGGGGUGAUGGCCUACCAAGGCGACGACGGGUAGCCGGCCUGAGAGGGCGACCGGCCACACUGGGACUGAGACACGGCCCAGACUCCUACGGGAGGCAGCAGUGGGGAAGUCUUGCGCAAUGGGCGAAAGCCUGACGCAGCGACGCCGCGUGAGGGAUGACGGCC
rnacentral:rRNA from 1 species